AAUUAUAGAUGGAAGGGAAUUAUAGACUUCGAAUAUGGGUGUUUGUGGGAAUUUAACUUAAUUCACAUGCUUGAUUUAAUGUGCUUGUUUGGUGUAAUUUUAGAUUAGUCAGUUACGUUCGGGCAUUCCUAGUGAGCAUGUAAUUUUAUUUUUCCCUUCCCCUAUUUGUGUGACUUUUAAAAUGGGAGAGGAGUGGGGAGGAAGUAAAUGAAAACAUCUUUAUUUGUUUUACAGAAGUUGCUAGCUGCUGCUUUGCUGUGGCUUAAAUGCCGUUUCCAGUUUUGGGACGCAGGAUUUUUGUGCGCACGCGAUUUCACUGAACGUCUUUGCUGUCGCCUGUAUAACAUUAGCGUUGGAUGCGCUGUAAGACCGUGGCCUUUGAUUCUGGCGCCACCUGGUGUUCGCUGGUAACUCCUUCGUCUUUGUUUGUUUUGUGUAUUUUGUUUAAGUGUGUGUGCAAUGGAGUUUGAUUGAAAUUGAGUUUGUUUCAGUUCAAGUUGCUUCAUUGUAUUUUAUUUAUUAGGUUUUGGUUUUAUUUGGUUGAUGUGGAGUGGGUUUAAAUUAUUGUACUUUUGGUUUUGAUUGGUUUGAAGUGUGGUUUUUGUGUAUCUUGUUUUAUCAUGGAGCAGUGAAAUGUGUUAUGCCAAGACAUAAUUCCAAAGAAAGAAACCUCCUUGUUUAGUCUAUCUGUUUUUGUGAACCGUUUCUUUGUGUAUUAGAUUUCUUUUCUUCGUGUGUUUUUGGCCAGUGCAAGGGUGGUUGACCUAUGUGAACUGACUAACGAAGCCCAUUGGGCUGAUUCAUUCACAUUGAUUAACGUGUGGUGUGUGUGUUUUUUUAAAUGUUGAGCUCAAGGUGUUUUAAUUGAGAAAUAAAAUUGUAGCCUGUGGUUUGGUCUCUGC
ensembl:lncRNA